GAUGAACGCUGGCGGCGUGCCUAAUACAUGCAAGUCGAGCGAACGGACGAGAAGCUUGCUUCUCUGAUGUUAGCGGCGGACGGGUGAGUAACACGUGGAUAACCUACCUAUAAGACUGGGAUAACUUCGGGAAACCGUAGCUAAUACCGGAUAAUAUUUUGAACCGCAUGGUUCAAAAGUGAAAGACGGUCUUGCUGUCACUUAUAGAUGGAUCCGCGCUGCAUUAGCUAGUUGGUAAGGUAACGGCUUACCAAGGCAACGAUGCAUAGCCGACCUGAGAGGGAGGUCGGGCACACUGGAAGUGAGACACGGUCCAGACUCCUACGGGAGGCAGCAGUAGGGAAUCUUCCGCAAAGGGCGAAAGCCUGACGGAGCAACGCCGCGUGAGUGAUGAAGGUCUUCGGAUCGUAGAACUCUGUUAUUAGGGAAGAACAUAUGUGUAAGUAACUGUGCACAUCUUGACGGUACCUAAUCAGAAAGCCACGGCUAACUACGUG
rnacentral:rRNA from 1 species